rnacentral:rRNA from 1 species
CCUACGGGUGGCUGCAGUGGGGAAUAUUGGACAAUGGUGGGAACCCUGAUCCAGCCAUGCCGCGUGUGUGAAGAAGGCCCUCGGGUUGUAAAGCACUUUCAGUGAGGAAGAACGCCUGGUGGUUAAUACCCAUCAGGAAAGACAUCACUCACAGAAGAAGCACCGGCUAACUCCGUGCCAGCAGCCGCGGUAAUACGGAGGGUGCGAGCGUUAAUCGGAAUUACUGGGCGUAAAGCGCGCGUAGGUGGCUUGAUAAGCCGGUUGUGAAAGCCCCGGGCUCAACCUGGGAACGGCAUCCGGAACUGUCAAGCUAGAGUGCAGGAGAGGAAGGUAGAAUUCCCGGUGUAGCGGUGAAAUGCGUAGAGAUCGGGAGGAAUACCAGUGGCGAAGGCGGCCUUCUGGACUGACACUGACACUGAGGUGCGAAAGCGUGGGUAGCAAACAGGAUUAGAUACCCCUGUAGUC